rnacentral:rRNA from 1 species
UACGGGGGGGCAAGCGUUGUUCGGAAUUACUGGGCGUAAAGGCUCGUAGGCGGCCAACUAAGUCGGAUGUGAAAUCCCCAGGCUCAACCUGGGAACUGCAUCCGAUACUGGAUGGCUUGAAUUCGGGAGAGGGAUGCAGAAUUCCAGGUGUAGCGGUGAAAUGCGUAGAUAUCUGGAGGAAUACCGGUGGCGAAGGCGGCAUCCUGGACCGACAUUGACGCUGAGGAGCGAAAGCCAGGGGAGCAAACGGG